rnacentral:rRNA from 1 species
AUUGAACGCUGGCGGCAUGCUUUACACAUGCAAGUCGGACGGCAGCGGGGUAGUGCUUGCACUACUGCCGGCGAGUGGCGAACGGGUGAGUAAUAUAUUGGAACGUACCGAGUAAUGGGGGAUAACCAAUCGAAAGAUUGGCUAAUACCGCAUACGCUCUGAGGAGGAAAGCAGGGGACCUUCGGGCCUUGCGUUAUUCGAGCGGCCAAUAUCUGAUUAGCUAGUUGGUGGGGUAAGGGCCUACCAAGGCGACGAUCAGUAGCGGGUCUGAGAGGAUGACCCGCCACACUGGGACUGAGACACGGCCCAGACUCCUACGGGAGGCAGCAGUGGGGAAUUUUGGACAAUGGGCGCAAGCCUGAUCCAGCCAUGCCGCGUGUCUGAAGAAGGCCUUCGGGUUGUAAAGGACUUUUGUUAGGGAAGAAAAAGGAGCGGUUAAUACCCGUUUCUGCUGACGGUACCUAAAGAAUAAGCACCGGCUAACUACGUG